rnacentral:rRNA from 1 species
CCUACGGGAGGCAGCAGUGGGGAAUAUUGCGCAAUGGGCGAAAGCCUGACGCAGCGCCGCCGCGUGAGGGAUGAAGGUCUUCGGAUCGUAGACCUCUGUCAGCAGGGAAGAACGGUCACUGUGCUAAUCAGCAGUGAAUUGACGGUACCUGCAAAGGAAGCACCGGCUAACUCCGUGCCAGCAGCCGCGGUAAUACGGAGGGUGCGAGCGUUAAUCGGAAUUACGGGGCGUAAAGCGCUCGUAGGCGGUAUGUCAAGUCAAGGGUGAAAUCCCCGCGCUCAACGUGGGAACUGCAUUUGAAACGGGCAAACUGGAGUGUGUGAGAGGGUAGUGGAAUUCCAGGUGUAGGAGUGAAAUCCGUAGAUAUCUGGAGGAACAUCAGUGGCGAAGGCGACUAUCUGGCACAUAACUGACGCUGAGGAGCGAAAGCGUGGGUAGCAAACAGGAUUAGAUACCCGAGUAGUC